GCGCGUUUCUGAAAUUCCUCAAGCUCCUUCACGAAGUUGGCCUUCUUCCGGGUGUAGUCCAUGAAGCCCUUUUUGUGGAGGUUCUGAAGGCGAGUAACCUCCACUGUAGCUUCCGAAUGGCUCUUCCUCAGUCUGUGAAGUUCGUCGUCCAUCUUCUUUGAUUUCUUCAUUAGGUGACAAACUUCCCUUCUCAGAUCCCAGAUCAUGGACUUCAAGGGAAUUCUCUGCGGUAGGGGAAGAGCUUCGGCAGGAUACUGUUGUCGGAAAAUAAGAGCGUCACAAUGCAAAUCAUUGCAAGAAAGAGGAAUCCGAUU
rnacentral:lncRNA from 1 species